CUGCAUGCACAUGAGAAAGAGGGAGGCGCGGCCCGGCCACAACGGUGUAUACAACUCUUUAGUGAUGCUCUUAAUGAUUGCAACGUUGAUGACUUGGGUUAAUCGGGUGACAUCUUCGGCUGGCGUAGAGGCCGUAUACGUGAAAGGUUGGAUAGGGCAGUAGGGAAUAGUUCCUGGGCUGUCCUAUUCCCUUGCUUUUGAGUUUCAAAUGAACCUUUUAAUAAAUCUAAUCAUCGCCCUAUAUUGAUAGAUACUGAUUUUUAG
rnacentral:rRNA from 1 species